GACGAACGCUGGCGGCGUGCUUAACACAUGCAAGUCGAACGGAAGGGCCCUGCUUUUGUGGGGUGCUCGAGUGGCGAACGGGUGAGUAACACGUGAGUAACCUGCCCUUGACUUUGGGAUAACUUCAGGAAACUGGGGCUAAUACCGGAUAGGAGCUCCUGCUGCAUGGUGGGGGUUGGAAAGUUUCGGCGGUUGGGGAUGGACUCGCGGCUUAUCAGCUUGUUGGUGGGGUAGUGGCUUACCAAGGCUUUGACGGGUAGCCGGCCUGAGAGGGUGAACGGCCACAUUGGGACUGAGAUACGGCCCAGACUCCUACGGGAGGCAGCAGUGGGGAAUAUUGCACAAUGGGCGGAAGCCUGAUGCAGCAACGCCGCGUGCGGGAUGACGGCCUUCGGGUUGUAAACCGCUUUCGCCUGUGACGAAGCGUGAGUGACGGUAAUGGGUAAAGAAGCACCGGCUAACUACGUG
rnacentral:rRNA from 1 species